rnacentral:rRNA from 1 species
AUGCGCAAGGAUGGGCUUUCGGAGGCGGAGAGAGCGGUACGAUAUCGCCUUUACUGGCCUGAUGGCACAAGGAAGAAGUCUUCCAAAGACAAUCCGAAACCUAGGAAUAUCAGCCUAUUGGUUCAAGCUUUACUGGACAAGUACAAUGAAGAUCACCAUCUUUUAGGGGAUCUUGCAUAUGAACUUGAUGGUGUUGUGUGCUUCCAAGAAUUUUAUAUGGGGAAGAUUGGCUGCCUCAGUAUGUACUAUCAUCUCAAUUUUACUACAAAGACUAAAGGAUCUGAUAAUUUUCACGGUGGCAUCAACAAUCUAUUCUUUGCUGAAGUCACACAAAUAAAGGGCGAAAGUGUUGAAUAUGUGCUCAAUUGUUUCUGUAUGGUGAAACGCAAUGACAAUGGCCGAUGCUAUGGGUGCACCAGUUACGGAAAUGUUGAUUUGAAGCACCCUAUCAAUGCUCAUAAAUAUAAAGGUUGCCACUCUCGCCCACACAAAGUAUGGUGCGGUUUGGUCGAUCAAGGGGUACCUGAAUACAUCCAGAAUGAGGAGGAUAUGCUGGCGGAUGAGGAGGCUAGGAUAAGAUAUAUAUACAAGUGCCCUGAUGAUCGUACUAUUGUGGCAAAAUCGGAUGGUACAAGAAUGCCUGCUGUUUUGGCCAAGAGAGAGGAUGUUGGUUUGGCCAAACGAGAGAAUGCUGGUUUGGCCAAAAGAGAUGAUGGCCAAGGAAAAGGGAAAUACAUUGUACCUGCAAGGCGUUAG